rnacentral:rRNA from 1 species
AUUGAACGCUGGCGGCAGGCCUAACACAUGCAAGUCGAGCGGAGCGGCGGACGGGUGAGUAAUGCCUAGGAAUCUGCCUGGUAGUGGGGGAUAACGUCCGGAAACGGGCGCUAAUACCGCAUACUAUCAGAUGAGCCUAGGUCGGCUAAGCUAGUUGGUGGGGUAAAGGCCUACCAAGGCGACGAUCCGUAACUGGUCUGAGAGGAUGACCAGUCACACUGGAACGGAGAGACUGUCCAGACUCUUACGGGAGGCAGCAGUGGGGAAUAAUGGACAAUGGGCGAAAGCGUGAUCCAGCCAUGCCGCGUGUGUGAAGAAGGUCUUCGAAUUAUAAAGCACUUUAAGUUGGGAGGCGUUACCAACAGAAUAAGCACAGGCUAACUUCGUGCCAGCCGCCGCGGUAAUUC